rnacentral:rRNA from 1 species
CCUACGGGGUGCUGCAGUGAGGAAUAUUGGUCAAUGGGCGGAAGCCUGAACCAGCCAAGUCGCGUGAGGGAUUAAGGCCCUGCGGGUCGUAAACCUCUUUUGCCGGGGAGCAGUGGUCCGGACGCGUCCGGACCGGGAGAGUACCCGGAGAAAAAGCAUCGGCUAACUCCGUGCCAGCAGCCGCGGUAAUACGGAGGAUGCGAGCGUUAGCCGGAUUUAUUGGGUUUACAGGGUGCGUAGGCGGGCAUUUAAGCCGGCGGUCAAACGCCGGGGCUCAACCCCGGCCUGCCGUCGGGACUGGGUGCCGUGAGUGGGCGAGAAGUAUGCAGAAUGCGUGGUGUAGCGGUGAAAUGCAUAGAUAUCACGCAGAACCCCGAUUGCGAAGGCAGCAUACCGGCGCACUACUGACGCUGAGGUACGAAAGUGCGGGUAUCGAACAGGAUUAGAUACCCUUGUAGUC